GGAGUCCAUGGAGGGGCAUCACAGCCAGUGGGCGGAAAAGUUACAGUCCAUAGUGAGAUCAGCGUGAAGGCGGAGCCGUCGGCCAUAACAACAAUUGGCACCAAACUGAAAACCGAGUGUGAAGAGGGCGUGUGCUCGAGAGGUCUGGUCGACGCCGAACCCAUCUGCAGUACCUUGCCUAUGCCUAUAGAGACCUGCACUCCAAGAAUAGGGCGUGUGGGUUUGAAUAGCGCUAGUGCUGCGGUGCAAUUUCGUGGAAACUUGUUCAAUCCACCUGUACUUAACUGGAAUGUGGGCCCAAUGAACUUCAGCCCCGCUGGCCAGAAAUUUGGCCGUUUGCACCAUGGCCGAGCCAGCAACAGGGAGGCCCGGAGCCUUCGUCGGGACAGGAGGAGGCCCCCCAAGCCUCCAAGAUGACGGGGUUCAUCACGACCCUAGGCCAGGACCCCCCCGGCCCCGCCCGCACGCCCGUCCACCCCUUCUACCAGUUCCCCCAGCAACCACGAUUUCCACAACCCCGGUUCCACUCGGCUCUCCUCCCCCAGCCACCCGCCGCCAUGCGCUACCCCCACAACCCCAUGCUCGGGCCCCUCGCGGCCCUGGGGGGAAUGAGGCAUCUCCUGGGGCCCGGGGUGGUCUGGCCGGGGGGCCUACUCUGGAACUUCCAGCAAGCAGGGAGGGAGAUGAACAUCCCUAGCCUGAUGGGAAACUUCCCUAACCCUGGAGUCCCCGGAGCAAACCAGUACAGACCUGGACCCAGAGGAGGGCGGUAGACUCACUGAAGGCCUGGAGGAGGGCGGUAGACCCAGUGAAGACCUGGUGGAGGGUGGUAGACUCCCUACUGGCCGGUUCAUUCCCUGCUGCGUUGUGCUGAAGAAGAGGAUUUGGGCGUUGAGAAGCGAUGGGAGAUGAAGCCAUAUUUAUUUUACCAUGGCAAGAGACAGAUUUUUUAAUUGACUAACUCCGUCCAGCUCCGUUGACUUAAGAGACCCUGUUGUACAAAGUCCUUAUGUUUGCCUCGUGCUAGCACAGCGCUUCUAGCACGUUUAUAUUUAAAUACUUUUUCUACAAUCAACCUGCCAUUCUCGGGCUGCGUACAGCAGGCCUUGGACACACCUGCUCUUCAAUGGAACAGUUCUAUUUUCUGAGGCAGAAAAGGGCCUUCCGGGUUCAAUGUCUUCCAACAGUUGUUAUUUUUCUGUGUUUGCUGGGCGUUCCCCGGAGGGCCCCUUGCCCCUCUUCAUUUAUCCAUCUGCCAAGUAAUUUAACACAACCAAGAGUUUGUUGGUUUGUUCCAAACUCGUCAACACAAUGAAGAGCAUCUUGGGGUCUGUGACGAACCCACUGUAACCAGUUAAAGACAAGCAGCUUCUUUUAACUGAAAUCCUUUUAUUUUUUUACUCAUAAAGGUUAUGUUUGUAUUAAAACAUUCUGAUCAAACAGCUCAUUCUGUGGCCUGUCUCAUAAGGAAAACCAUACUGAACACUUUUAAUACAAGAUUCUGGAACAAAAUCUCCCUUACUUCUGUGCUCCCUCCAUCUAUUUAUUUCUCCACCGUUGGGAAGUGCUGCCUUUCACGCACCUUUGAUUGACAGGCAUGAUGGAUUCCCGGAUCCAAUCACGUAAAAGCUUCACUUAGUGGUUAAAUUAGAUGGGACUGGUUUAAAAUUGAAAAUGCUCCAUAAAGAGUCAUCUGGAAACAUGUUCUCGCAAAACACUUCAUUCACUAAAAGCUGACCGCUGGCUAUACCAUUUUUAACGAAUUAACCUCUAAUAGCUCUUAAAUCUUACCUACAGCCCGCGAUGGACCAAAGGGAUCUGCGAUUUUCUCCUCAUUGAGUUAUCAUGAUUAAAAGGUUGAAAGGAUUGAAAAUGUUGCAUGGAAAUCUCUUAAUUUACAAUUUAAUGGAUCUAUUUUCCCUCCUGGCUUCUUAGCCAAGCAGGUGACCAAUCACUCUAAACUUACAUUAUGGAAAUGGUGCAGCUGAACGAAGCUACAGCGUCUCAGUGAUUCUGUCUAAUCGUAUAGUGAGUUCAACAAAUACUCAUAAUAUUAUAUAAUACUCAUAUAUUAAGUUGAAAUUCAAGAUUUAUUAUACAAAUACUUUUAUUAUACAUUCAGAGAUCAGAGUACCAAGGGAUGAUCACUGGUAGACCUGGCAACCAUGGUGAAAAUGCAUUGCUAUCUGACUGUUAAAAGACUGGAAGUGCUCAAGCCCCCCCAGGGGAUGGGUGUCAGCUGCGUUGUGAUGUCACUGGGGGGAGGAGCCUCCCACUUGACUCCAUCUCUUUCUGCUUCUGCAACAAACACUUCUCACAGAAAGGUAGAUGGAGACGGAGAGAGGUAGGUAAGUAGUGGUAGACUUGGUUAUUGAUGUUCCAAUUGAAGCACAAAGUACAUAAAAUAAAGGUGACUAACAAAAUUGCUAGAAUCCCAUUGUUGGAACGGUGCAAAGAACACGGCAGGUCACAUUGUUUUAAUAGAGAAAAGCACAUUCAGCACAAAUGUAUAGGGGUGAAAUAUUUCACCCACUUCAAGCAGGGCUUGUCUAAUUUGGA